CCCUACGGGAGGCAGCAGUGGGGAAUAUUGCACAAUGGGGGAAACCCUGAUGCAGCGACGCCGCGUGAGUGAGAAAGUAUUUCGGUAUGCAAAGCUCUAUCAGCAGGGAAGAAAAUGACGGUACCUGACUAAGAAGCCCCGGCUAACUACGUGCCAGCAGCCGCGGUAAUACGUAGGGGGCAAGCGUUAUCCGGAUUUACUGGGUGUAAAGGGAGCGUAGACGGCGCGGCAAGUCUGAAGUGAAAGGCAGGGGCUUAACCCCUGAACUGCUUUGGAAACUGCCAUGCUAGAGUGCUGGAGAGGUA
rnacentral:rRNA from 1 species